UUCUUCGGCUGCAUGAGUAGCUUUGCCUGUCCCAGCUGGCUAGGCUUCUGCAGGCAACCUUUGCAGCAAGGUUCAUCUUACUAUAGAACCAUGACAGGUAUAUUCUAAAUCUUUUCCCACCUUACCAACUCCAUGUAGCCACCAGCAGAGUGUUAAGCUUUCAAAUUUUAUGGCACACACAAUAAAAGAUGGUUAGAAAGACCAAUUCUGACUAACCAUGAGUGGCUCAACCAGAGAAUGAGGGCUUUUCCAAAGCAAGCAGGACCCAGUUUUCUAAAGUUGGGACUGAAAAUAUUCUGUGUAUAUGUACACACCUGAUUUUGUGACUUUAUUUUCAAAAAUGAAAUUAUUUCAACUAGCUGUUUUGUGGUAUUACCCAUAGUAUUUAACCAUUCUGUUCAUGCAGCUAAUUUCAAGAAUAUGCUAAAUUGUCUAAACUUAAAUAUCCAUGAGAAUGCUAAAGUGGAACCAUGAGUAAUGAUUAGGCAAAUCUGUUUCACCUGCCCUCACUAAUCAAGGUGAUUUUAAGAAUUGCAUGUCCUCCAAGCAGCACAUAGCCUGAACAAUAAGAUGUGGGCGGGAGUUGUUUUCCAGGAACUCUAAGUCAGCUGAUCUAGUUUGAGUUGAGCUGGUUAAGAGUAGAUAGGACAACUGACUCUCCAACUAGAUAUCACCUGGUGGGAUUUUGACCCUUCUGGCCAGAUCAUGGUUUGCAGGCCUACCCAGAAGAAUUUUGGCAGACUGUAGAAGUUUACAGUUCCUCAGGGACCAGAUUCAGGAGAAAAGGGGACAACAGAGAAUAAACCACAGGCUACUCCACUGGCAGCUGCCUUAACAUGGGAAAGAGCUGGACCAAGUUGAAGACUCACAGGAGGAACUCAUCAAAUGGUGAACAGCAAAGUGAUUCCUGUGUAUCUGAAUCUGUCCUCUUGACUCCCAGCCAAGUGAUCUUUCCAAAUGGCCAUCUUUCCCAGAGGUUGUUCCUAAAGACUGCUAACAGUUAAGGAGAAAAGUCAUGAACCCUUCCCAUGAAAAAGAUGCAGACAUCAGCAUUAAUUCUCCAAGCGUGAGUAAAUUUUGCAAGAAAAAAAAUUUCAACCAUUUCCUUCUUGUAUAUAUAUAUAUAUAUUUCCU